rnacentral:rRNA from 1 species
GACGAACGCUGGCGGCGUGCCUAACACAUGCAAGUGGAGCGACGAACCAGGCUUCGGCCUGGGGCAAAGCCGCGAACGGGUGAGUAACACGUGGGUAACCUGCCCUGAUGAUUGGGACAACCCGAGGAAACUCGGGCUAAUACCAAAUGUGCCCUUCGGCCACAAGGCCGCUGGGGAAAGGAAGCUUCGGCCUCCGCAUCUGGAUGGGCCCGCGGCCCAUUAGCUUGUUGGUGAGGUAACGGCUCACCAAGGCGACGAUGGGUAGCUGGUCUGAGAGGACGAUCAGCCACACUGGGACUGAGACACGGCCCAGACUCCUACGGGAGGCAGCAGUGGGGAAUCUUGCGCAAUGCGCGAAAGCGUGACGCAGCAACGCCGCGUGGGGGAAGACGGCCUGGUGUAACC